CAAGUUGCUUAAGCAAAGCAAAGCAAUAGUUCACAAGGAACUGAGCAACUAAAGUACCUGGAAACAAUCAAACUCAGUCAGUAAUCAAUCAGACAAACUAUACGGCAAACAAUCAAACAUUUAAACAAUACAACACAAAGCAAGCUCAAGGCUUAAGCCCAAGCUCCAACACCUACAAAAAAAUGUUAUGUUAGUGUACAAACAUCCACAACAUCAAUCAAAAUUGGAUUUGG
rnacentral:lncRNA from 1 species